CUGACCUGUGACAUAUUACUGUCUUAUGUACUCCUUGCUAGCCCCUGCUAGUCUCACUUCUGCCACCAGCUAACCCAGUGCAAUAACUAACCCUCAGGGCCUUCAUGCUUGCUGUUCCACUGGCCACCCCCUGCUCUCUGCUGCUUUCAUGGUGCUUGCCACAAUUCACUCACCUGCUGGUUCCCUUCACUGGAUGUUAAGAGCCUACAGUAGGGGCAGGAGAGAUGGCUGUGGUUAAGAGUACUUGCUGCUCUUCCAGAGGACCUGAGUUCAAUUCCCAGCAACCACAUGAUGGCUCACAACCAUCCCUCUUCUGGACUGCAGGCAUACAUGCAGGCAGAACACUGUAUAUAUAAUGAAUAAAUAAAUCUUUAAAAAAAAAAAAAAGGGCCUACAGCAGCACUGUCUUGUCUCAGGCUGUAUUCACUCCUGGCACCCAGCAUGCACUGGGUCACAGGGCUGGCAUAAAAUUACAGGACACUCUUCAAUUAACUAGAUUAAUUUUCCUUAAUUAACUUUGGGCAAACAUUGCUUUUGAGUAGUAUUAGAGAUUAAUGUUAAGGGGCUGGAGAGAUGGCUCAGUGGUUAAGAGCACUGGCUGCUCUUCCAGAGGUCCUGAGUUCAAUUCCCAGCAACCACAUGAUGGCUCACAAUCAUCUGUAAUGAGAUCUGGUGCCCUCUUCUGGCCUGCAGGCAUACAUGCUGGCAGAACACUGUAUACAUAACAAAUACAUUUUUUAAAAAUUAAAUGUUAAAAUAGGAGUGCCCACCAGUAGGCAAAUGUGACCCUGUAUCAGCCACGCAUACAUCAUCAGCAUGCUCUUGUACCUGCCCAAGAGUAGUGAGUGGUUUGUCUGUGUGCCAUGUAGCUCAGCUUUGGCAAACCCAGCCUCCAAUGAGAACAAAGCCCAGCUGCCUGGGGCACACACAUCUGGAAUCUCAUCACACACUCUGGGCAGAAGACGUGAGUGCUACCUUUGACACUUUAAUUUCAGUGCAUUAUAAAAAAACUUAAUGGGUGUUUUGUCAGCAUAUAUGUCUUUAUACCACUUGGUGCCUGGUUCCCAGGAGGACAUCUGCACUCAGGCUACACACUUACACAAACAUAUAUUUAAAAGAAAAGUCUCUGGCGGGGGGCUGGAGAGAUGGAUCAGAGGUUAAGAUCACUGACUGCUCUUCCAGAGGUCCUGAGUUCAAUUCCCAGCAACCAAAUGGUGGCUCACAACUAUCUAUAAUGGGAUCUGGUGCCCUCUUCUGGUGUGCACAUAUAUACAUAGAAGCAGAAUGCUGUAUACAUAAUAAAUAAAAUCUUUAAAAAAAAAAAAGUCUCUGAGAGUAUGG
rnacentral:lncRNA from 1 species